GGACUUGAAAGGUGUCACGACUUGUUCGAAUUACGGGACGUUGCUAGACGUGUUUCAGUUCACUGUGUUUUAAAGCCACAUAUCUCAAGUUUUUACCUAUUUACAUUAACCUCUGCGAUAUUGUCGCAUUCUGUCACAUUCGCUAGUAAAUAAAUAGUCCAAAAUGAAAAGCCACACAAUCCAGAAUGUUCCACUUUGCCCCAGGUUGAUCAUGAACCCCCCCAAACCCAAGGUGUCCCGCCCUCUGUACCCUAAACAUGAAGAACAGCAGCACGUGCAUGACAUAAAGCACCACAAAGGGAAGCAGACAGUUGUGGACAGGGCCAUGUAUUUAAGAAAAUAUUCUCGACACAUCUCACUGGUUCCGAAAAAAAUCAGUUCAGAGGACUCGGAAGAUACGUUUUUGGAAAGCAACUGCACUCCUGUCUCAAAGAAGGAAACAAACUGUGAGGAUGGGAGCGAAGAAUUCAGAGACAGACAUUGUUCCAGCAAGAGAAAGAGAGACGUGGUAAGUGCUAAAAAAUAUUAAGAAUUUGCUGAAACGUUGUUUUUUUUGGGUGUGAUGCAUUAAUUGAAUC
rnacentral:lncRNA from 1 species